rnacentral:tmRNA from 1 species
GGGGGCGUAAGGGUUUCGACGGGGAUAGUGAAGCAUGAUAAGCGGGUAGUGGUCCGGAGCCACUUUAAAAUCCGGAAUUUAAAAUUAAACGCUAACGAAAAUAAUUUAGUAGCAGCGUAAUGCUGCUUGCCGCCUCAAAUCAGGCGGCCGUCCGGCCCGCGUUGACCGCGGCUCGGGUUUGGGCGUAAUCUAAGCGGUGAACGUGACCCGGGUAAGCUUUGCCCCGGGCAUGACAAAUGAAGCUACCAAUGGCGGCAGGAUGCAGGGAAACUGCCGCCGGCGGGAAUCUUAAUUCUCUGCUGCACCCGGAGAAAGUCAUGUGGAAGUAUUUUCGGACAGGGGUUCAACUCCCCUCGCCUCCACCA